rnacentral:rRNA from 1 species
UACGGAGGGUGCAAGCGUUAUCCGGAUUUACUGGGUUUAAAGGGUGCGUAGGUGGGCAGGUAAGUCAGUGGUGAAAUCUCCGGGCUUAACCCGGAAGCUGCCAUUGAUACUAUCUGUCUUGAAUAUCCUGGAGGUAAGCGGAAUAUGUCAUGUAGCGGUGAAAUGCUUAGAUAUGACAUAGAACACCCAUUGCGAAGGCAGCUUACUACGGGAUUAUUGACACUGAGGCACGAAAGCGUGGGGAUCAAACAGG